AUUGAACGCUGGCGGCAGGCCUAACACAUGCAAGUCGAACGAGUGGCGGACGGGUGAGUAAUGUCUGGGAAACUGCCUGAUGGAGGGGGAUAACUACUGGAAACGGUAGCUAAUACCGCAUACCAUCGGAUGUGCCCAGAUGGGAUUAGCUAGUAGGUGGGGUAAAGGCUCACCUAGGCGACGAUCCCUAGCUGGUCUGAGAGGAUGACGAGCAACACUGUAAAUGAGACACGGUCGAGACUCUUCAGUGAGGCAGCAGUGGGGAAUAUUGCACAAUUGGUGCAAGCCUGAUACAUCCAUGCCGCGUGUAUGAAGAAGGCCUUCGGGUUGUAAAGUACUUGCAGCGGGGAGGCGUUACCCGCAGAAGAAGCACCGGCUAACUCCGUGCCAGCAGCCGCGGUAAGUC
rnacentral:rRNA from 1 species